rnacentral:lncRNA from 1 species
CAGCUCAAAGGCAUACUGCACUAGUGUCUCCUGCCUAAAUCAAAGUUUGGCUUCUGAGACUGAUAACAUUUCCUACUUCCAGACACUGUCAAGAGUUUCCUUUAUAUAUCUAAAUGUCGUCAUUUAAAAUGAGCUAUGGUUUCCUACUCAAACUCCCACAGAGGCUUUGGCCUUGAUAAAUAAUCAUUUGAAAGAGACCAGUUUUCUUCUCAAGAGAUUUAAAAGCUAACAAAGAUGAAUAAGAGUUCCUAUCAUGAAAUGAAGAUGAAUUUUGAUAAACGCUUCUUCUGCACCUGUUGAAUUAUCAUACAAUUUUUUCUCCUUAAAUGAAUAUGUAAAUAACAUUGUUUGAUUUUAAUGUUAAACCAAAAAUGUAUUAUUCUUUUUCUGUAUUGCUGUAUUUGAUAUGUUUAUAAUUUGUUGAGAAUUGUGUAUAUGUUUAUAAGAAAUAUUAAUUUGUAAUUUUUCUUUUGUUGUAAUGUCUUUAGUUCUUUUGGUAUCAGAGUUAUACAAA